CCUACGGGAGGCAGCAGUGAGGAAUAUUGGUCAAUGGGCGAGAGCCUGAACCAGCCAAGUCGCGUGAGGGAGUACUGCCCUAUGGGUUGUAAACCUCUUUUGUCGGGGAGCAAAAGCCGGACGUGUCCGGCUGUGAGAGUACCCGAAGAAAAAGCAUCGGCUAACUCCGUGCCAGCAGCCGCGGUAAUACGGGGGGUGCGAGCGUUAUCCGGAUUUAUUGGGUUUAAAGGGUGCGCAGGCGGAUUGUUAAGUCAGCGGUAAAAUCGUGGGGCUCAACCCCAUCCAGCAGUUGAAACUGGGGAUCUAGAGUGUGCGAGAGGUAUGCGGAAUGCGUGGUGUAGCGGUGAAAUGCAUAGAUAUCACGCAGAACCCCGAUUGCGAAGGCAGCAUACCGGUGCACAACUGACGCUCAGGCACGAAAGCGUGGGUAUCGAACAGGAUUAGAUACCCCAGUAGUC
rnacentral:rRNA from 1 species